UUAAAGAAAUUCUGUUAUUGGGAAAAUUUUCGCCCAUCUCAUAUACAGGGAAUUCUAGCAUACGCCUUUAAUUACAUUAUGUUAUAACAAAAGUUUUACAUAUUUAUGAGUACAUUAUAGUUGAUGCCAUACGUAUGUAAACAUGAAUGACAUUAACGUAUCAUAGAUAUUUUAUUGAACUAAAGUUCGUUAACCCACGAGUUCAAAUACCAUAUAAACAGCGUAAAAUAUAUCUAAUUUAUAUUCAAUGGUUGUAAUGUACAAUUAUAUAAAGAUGUUACAAAUACAGGAGUUGAUAAUUACCACAAAGGCGUACGUAGGAUUUAUAUAGGCAGAUGGUCCCCAAUUUUUGAAAAAUAAUAAGAUAGAUGACAGUGUUGAAAAUCGACAGUUUUCACUAAAAUAAACUUUAAACUACCGAACUGUGUCGUUUUUAAUAAUAACAAAUUCUCAGAAUUGAUGUAAAAUGAAUUUAAAAUACGACCGGUACAGGCAUUUCGCGUUAAAAUUGCUGAAUUCGGCCAUUUAUGCAAGAGUAAGACCAGAUCAACUGAGACCCAAAAUAUAGUUGUGGUGUGUGACUUACUUGUUCUCAUGACAUAAUGAAAGAUCAGCUGCUGUGGAAUGUCAGUCAUACAAAUGUACCUGCCAGAACAUUACCUUUUAAUUCAAGAAAGUUGCGUUUAAAUUAAUUUUGUGGCUUUAUAUCUAUAAACCUGAGGUAAUAUUCAUAAAGCUUCUAAGAUUAUUUUCAUCUAAGAUAUUCAAUAUUUUGUUAGAAACCUGAAGCUGAAAUAUUUUCUUAUUUAAAAUCUGAGAAACAUUAUGAAUAUGUCCUCUGCAAUUAAAUUAAUUGAUGAAUCACACACUUAUGCAUAUUGGUUAUGUCAUAAAAUAUUAUUUGACUUUUUUUAUUUUAGGGAGUAUUUCUGUGUGUCUUGAAGCAUUGAAUGCCCCAAAACAACCAGUAUGAUAAGAAGACCAGAGUAUACAGCUUCCCAAAAUGUUGAAAGACUAAGCUGUUUUUCUAUGGACUUGUAUACUAUCUAGGUUGAAAACAGCCAUGGACAAUGAAUUUGGAGGUGCAUACUGGAGCAUCAGAAAUUACAUACAUGUACUUGGAAUAAAUAAUUGCACAAUACACAUUUACUGAGAAGUGACUAAUGUUUAUGUUAAAGUGCAAUAUCCAUAUUUGUAACAUUUACUUGGGGGUAAUAGUUACAGUGUUGAAAGAGACUACCAGUGUUACAUUUCAAUCUAAGUUACAGUGUGGAUGCUAAUUCUAAAUUCUUGAUAAUCAAGUGUUUUUAAUAAC
rnacentral:lncRNA from 1 species